UACAACGGUAAAAAAUUUCCCCUUCUCUCCUCGUCUCGCCCUCCUCGACGAAUCAUUCGCCAUCAUUUCGCCCCGAGCCAGCCGCCCGCCGGCCCCCUAGGAAUCGAAGAUGUCGUACGCCUACCCCGCCGGCGCCGAGGUCGACCUCCUCCCCUGAUCUUCGCCAAGCGCCCGCCGUUCUCGUCGGCGUUGCCGGCCUCUCGUCCUCCUCGGUACUUGGUACAUCUCAUUGGAGCGCCGCCAGACUACCGGCGGUCGGCACCCGUAGCCCGUCGUCAAGCCCCGCCCCACCCGACGCGCUCCAUCUGGAGGCUGGCUUCUCUCGAUGAACUAAACCAGACUAGGAAGCUCCUCCGCCACUCGGGGUCGCACCUCGCCUAGCGUUUGUUUCAUGGAGGCGAGCCGAGGUGCAUCCGCCAUGGCCACGGCGUGGUGCAGGGUAUGGUGGCCACGGGGGAGGCUGCAGCCCGAGCCGCUCGCAAGGUUCGUACUGUUCGGAUGGCUCUUCGCCCGCACGAGCUCCGUUGACGUUUUGGUCGCGACGGCCCUCCCGCAGGAGGAAAUCUUGCUGUCGUUCUCCACCCUAGAAGCACUCCAGACUAGAAUACAAGCUAUUUGUGGGUUUCCACUUCUUGCCAAAGAUGUUGAAUUUGUCUAAAAAAUUGCUGAUAUCCUAGGACAACUCCUUGCAAGUGAGGAAAAUGUGGAGCACGAUGCUGUCCAUAAAGCACUCAUGUCACUUAUACGGCAGGAUGUUAAAAGUAAGCUUUUGAUACACACUUUCUUGUUAUUUGUCAUCUUACAAGUAUAUUCUGUACUCUCAUAACAUGUAUAUUUGUUUCUCACUUUCUGGUUUUCUAUGCUCUCCCCCUCUCAUUAAAAAAAUAUAAUAAAAUGUUUUGUUAUUAAUGGCAUUCAAUAAUGUUUUCCUGUUUCGUAAUGUAACUUAACUAC